GGAGUCCCAGGUCUGAACUUUUCUGUUAGUGGUGUUUUAAAAAACUGAUGACAAGCAGAUUUGCAAGUCUCAUGUAUAGAAGCUAAAUUAAAAGUCAAAUUUUAUACUUAACCCACAGUCUUGUGUUUGGAGUUUUUCAGUUCACAUAGUGAGGUCUAAAUCUGAAGUAAAAUUUGAAGUUCUUCAGUUGACGUAGCUAUUGUGUUCCCCUUUCUUAGCUUUUCGUACCAUCUCUUCUAUAGAUGUCUUCAUAGGUCAAGCAGAUUGCUUAGUUGUUACCUGCUGCCUUCAUGGAAAUGGAAGUAGGGCCCUUAAUGUUUUAUCACUGGAUAUGGGAGUCCAGAGUUGCAUGUCAUAACUUUGGAAUAAGUACUGGGUGAAUUUGUGCAAGAAUGACUAGCUUUGUAAGCUGUACAGGCUUGCACCCAUGCUUUCCAGUCUGUUGUUAUAAGGGGAUGUUGAAACAUUUUGUUUUUAAGGAAUGUUUAAAUCUGUUUUAAGGAAAUGUUUCAAAUUGUGCAAAAGGAGUAAAAAUGUGGCCUUUGAAAAGUUCUGUUAAGCCUGGGGAGGAAAGCUCUGCUGAGGAAAGAGUUUGGAAUAGUGACCUUAUCUGUUCCUUAAAAAAUGGCAAUUCAGAAGCAAUGGAGGGAGCCAAAAAGUAAAAACAGAUUUGGAUUGGAAGUAUUCAUAAAACCUCCCUCUAUUUCUCAUCUUUAACCACCUUCUCCUAGCACACCUCUCUCUCACACACACACACUUGAUAAAGGCAGGAGAUUGCAUGAGAAAAUGGGUUGGAUUGGAGAAUCAAGUCUUCUGAGACUCGGUUACUUAAAAUCUAUCUAUAAACCUGAGUAGAAAUUAAUAACUAGGCUCUAACUUAGUGG
rnacentral:lncRNA from 1 species